UAGAAUGGUAAAACCAGAAAAGUAAAAUCCUAUAGAGAAACGAGCCCAGCCGAUAGCAAACCAAGACAUCUACCCUAAAUCAGGAUCGUUUUGGAAAUUGAUAGAGUUGCAAUGUAGAUUUAGAUUGCAAGUGUUUCUCGUACAUAUUACUCAAUGGAGACGUCCACCUUCGGCUUCGUGAAUCAACUUCGUUCUCUAUAUUCUGAAGGAUUUCAUUCUCUUCAAAAAACCUU